rnacentral:rRNA from 1 species
GACGAACGCUGGCGGCGUGCUUAACACAUGCAAGUCGAACGGAAAGGCCCUGCUUUUGUGGGGUGCUCAAGUGGCGAACGGGUGAGUAACACGUGAGUAACCUGCCCUUGACUUUGGGAUAACUUCAGGAAACUGGGGCUAAUACCGGAUAGGAGCUCCUGCUGCAUGGUGGGGGUUGGAAAGUUUCGGCGGUUGGGGAUGGACUCGCGGCUUAUCAGCUUGUUGGUGGGGUAGUGGCUUACCAAGGCUUUGACGGGUAGCCGGCCUGAGAGGGUGACCGGCCACAUUGGGACUGAGAUACGGCCCAGACUCCUACGGGAGGCAGCAGUGGGGAAUAUUGCACAAUGGGCGGAAGCCUGAUGCAGCAACGCCGCGUGCGGAUGACGGCCUUCGGGUUGUAAACCGCUUUCGCCUGUGACGAAGCGUGAGUGACGGUAAUGGGUAAAGAAGCACCGGCUAACUACGUG